ensembl:lncRNA
UAGGUAUGGGGAGUGGGGAGGGGAGGGUAGGGGAGUAGGGUGUAGGUGUUUGGAGUGGGAGUGGAGGGUAGGGUAGGGUAGGUAAUAGGUAUGGGGAGUGGAGGGUAGGAUAGGUAUGGGGAGUGGGAGUGGAGGGUAGUGUAGGUGUGGAGUGGGAGUGGAGGGGGUAGGUAAUAGGUAUGGGGAGUGGAGGGAAGAGCCUCUCAGACCAAAGCCUCAUAGAACUUAGCUGGAUACACAGGCUGCGUGAAGGAGAUCACUACUCAACCAUGCGUGUCCAGCAUCAUAUAUCUUAAGAAUUACUACUUACUUACAACAAACUCAUACUCACACAUAUACACACUCACUCAUACACACACGAAUUAGGGUCUCAUUAGCAUAACACACUGAGACUAAUUAAAGCACCCAUCAACACUGCCCUAAUUAGCUCUCCCACGUCAUUACUGAGCAAACGAAUUACCGCUAAUUUAAACACCCGCAAAACAAACACAGCACCGUCUCCGUUGGGAAAGACAGCCGUGCGCCUUGCACACUAAAUUAAAGCCCUGCACGGUGCGCUGCAGCCCCAACCAACCAGGCCCCUGGUGGAGCCCGCUAUUCAUCGGUCUGACAACACAAGAUUUAUAAAAGAUUAAAGUGGAGAGAGCACUGAGAGAGUUUUAUCAAGUGGGCUGAGUUGUGAGGACUAGGACUAUCCAGAGUCAUGUCUCUGGGCCUCUUUAUGUUUAAUAUGCUUUCGCUGCGACUUCAGGGCUUAGUUGGCCAUUGGACGGACUGACUGACUGACUGUAGCCUGUAGGCCUAUGUGUUACCUCUAGAGGGAGUGAGAGUAUAGUGGCUCAACCACUGAGGGACCCUAACACUGACCAGCCCCAUACAGGAUCCUUAGAUUGACAGGUCAUUAACUACUUUAUCAACCAUAGCAUCAGGCCAAGUGUUCAUAGACUCCUUAUAGCAAUGUAUUUUUUCUAAAGAAGAUACAGUACAUUAUUGACGGCCUACACUUUAUAUAGACCGCUGUACUUAGGUAUGAAAGUGAAAGAACUCAAAUGUUUUGCCAUUGGUUUCAUGUUGGUCAAAAGUGAAAAUAUUGAAGUUUGCACACGUCAUUAGUUGAAAUUGUAAAGGCAGAGGGAAACCCUGUGGCUUUGUUAAGUAGGACAUGGUUGAUUUGUAGUAGCUUGGUUUACAGUAGAGCAAAAAACAUUUAACUUUAGAACUAGCUCCACUGUAUGCUCCAUCGAAGUGCAUGUGUGAUUCUA